UAACGAUACGGGACUCAUCCGAGGCCCCGUAAUCGGAAUGAGUACACUUUAAAUCCUUUAACGAGUAUCCAUUGGAGGGCAAGUCUGGUGCCAGCAGCCGCGGUAAUUCCAGCUCCAAUAGCGUAUAUUAAAGUUGUUGCGGUUAAAAAGCUCGUAGUUGAAUCUGUGUGCCACGCUGUCGGUUCAUCGCUCGCGAUGUUUAACUGACAUGAUUGUGGGACGUCCUACCGGUGGACUUAGCCUCUAUCUCUUCGGAGUUAGAGGCGGUCCAGCUAAUAUCCCAUCGCGGUGCUUUUCAUCGAGUGUCGAGGUGGGCCGGUACGUUUACUUUGAACAAAUUAGAGUGCUCAAAGCAGGCCAUCCUCGCCUGAAUACUGUGUGCAUGGAAUAAUGGAAUAGGACCUCGGUUCUAUUUUGUUGGUUUUCGGAACCCCGAGGUAAUGAUUAAUAGGGACAGAUGGGGGCAUUCGUAUUGCGACGUUAGAGGUGAAAUUCUUGGAUCGUCGCAAGACGGACAGAAGCGAAAGCAUUUGCCAAAAAUGUUUUCAUUAAUCAAGAACGAAAGUUAGAGGUUCGAAGGCGAUCAGAUACCGCCCUAGUUCUAACCAUAAACGAUGCCAGCUAGCGAUCCGCCGAAGUUCCUUUGAUGACUCGGCGGGCAGCUUCCGGGAAACCAAAGCUUUUGGGUUCCGGGGGAAGUAUGGUUGCAAAGCUGAAACUUAAAGGAAUUGACGGAAGGGCACCACCAGGAGUGGAGCCUGCGGCUUAAUUUGACUCAACAC
rnacentral:rRNA from 1 species